rnacentral:Y_RNA from 1 species
GGCUGGUCCAAUCAUAGUGGGUUAUCAGAAUGUAUUAACAUUAGUGUCACUGAAGUUAGUAUUCAACCUCACACACACACACUGCUAUAUUUGACUGGCUUUAA